GAGGGGAAUGAAAGAUGCAUCAAAGAGUGACACAUGAUAACAUCUCAUGUAGCCCAGCCCAUGGACUCUUGUCCUCAGUACAGUUAAAUCACAAUAUAAACACAGGUGUUGGAUGGAAUAAAUCUCUAGAAUAUUGUCGUGUUGGUAUCUGUCACAGAGGUGGAAGGUUAAGACAUUUGAGAUGGUAUAAAAUGGUUCAUGAGAAAAAUGAAAGGAGGAGAGGCUAGAACAAAAGGGACCAGAGAAGAUGUUCAAAAGAAAAAAUCUUCAGUAACUCAGUCGUCACUUUCGCCACUUGCCACCUUUGUCUCCAUUCGACUGCAUCAACAACUCAUCAAAAAAGAACUAUUGUCCUUGUUGCUUAUUUUAAAAUCUUUUCUGUGUUCAAUUCCAAAGUGCCUCCAUAAUCAACAAACAUUUUCAAUCAAGGGACUAAGAAGAAGGCCUAUCUACAGUAUCUAGAAAUCUUUGUAGUGUGAACUAAACUGAACGUGAAUUAAUUAAGUGAAUUUAUAUAUAUUUCAACAGGUAUUUCCUCU
rnacentral:lncRNA from 1 species